rnacentral:lncRNA from 1 species
AGCUCCCUCCCCUGAAGAAGGCCCCCUGAAGCGUGGGAGGGCCCAGGAGAUAGAUUCUCAGGUGGUUUGACAAGCUGGGGGCUCAGCCACGGAAAUGCAGGGCAGAUCGUGGCAUUCAUGGACUCCUUCUCCGUGCCACGUGCCACGUGCAUUCUGAGAUGCUCUGAAACGGGGAGGGGGCCCCAGCGGUGCGCCCUGCCCAGCUGUUCUCGCCCGUCCCCUCGGCUGCUCUGCCUGCCUGGCCUCUUUGCCAACUGGCCUCCAACCUCGUGCUCACGCUCUCUUCCUGGCAUCCCCCUCCUUUCCCGGUGCUCUGGGGGAGCCUGGAUUCGAGGGCUGAGGGUCAGGGCUUCGCAGCUGCGUCUUGAGCUACAGCAAGUGUACUGGUUUCCUACGGCUGCGUAACAAGCCCCCCAAGCUCUGAAGCAGAAAACAGCAUGCGUUUAUCGGCUCCUGGUUCUAUAGGCCUGAAGUCCAGGCCCGGCGGGGCUGGAUUCUCCACACUGGGGCUCAUGAGGCUGGAAUCGGGGUGUCAGCUUUUAUCUGGAAGUUCUGGAGGAGAAUCUGUUUCCAGCCUCACAAAGAACUCGGUUCCUUGUGGUUGUGGUCCAAGGUCCCCAUGCCCUUGUGGCUGUCAGUGGGGCCACCCUCUGUUCCUAGCGACCACAACAUUCCUUCUCACAGGCCCCAUUUUCAAAGCUCGCAACCACACAGUGAGUCCUUCUCAGUGCUCACUCGUGUCUCUGAUUUGUUCUUCUGCCACCAGCCAGAGAGAACUCUGCUUUUUUUUUUUCUUUUUUGGUGAGGAAGAUUGGCCCUGAGCUAACAUCUGCACCAAUCUUCCUCAAUUUUGUAUGUGGGAUGUUGCCACAGCACAGCUUGAUGAGCGGCAUGUAGGUCCACACCCGGGAUCUGAACCCGAGAACCCCGGGCCACGGAAGCAGAACAAGCGAACUUCACUACGCCACCGGCCGGCCCCCAAAACUCCCUGCUUUUGAAGGGCUCAUGUGAUGAGACCAGGCCCACCUGGACAAUCUCCCUUUUGAUGAACUCAGUCAGUUGAUAAAUCCUUUUUGCCGUGGAAGGUAGCGGAACCAUGGGAGUGACAGCUCAUCAUAGUCACAGGUUCCCCCACACCUAGAUGGGGGGAUUAGACAAGGGCAAGCAUCACCGGGGACCAUCUGCCCACCUCGGCAAGCUGGCCCUGAAGUGCCCCACGGACCUCAGCUGAAACCUCUCCGGUUGGGGGACGCUGUGCCAGCCUGGGAAUCCGGGGUCUCAGCUUUCAGCUCUGCCUUUGCCACCAGCUGGCUGCAUGACCUUGGGCCAGUUGCCUCUCUCUGGGCCUCAGUGUCCCUAUCUGUACAUCCGGGAGAUUGGACUCUCAGAGGCUCUCCACCCUGACUGCCCUUUGGAGUCACCUGGGGCAGCUUUUAAAAAAUACAGCGCCUGCACCCCGUCCUCAGCGGUCCUGGCCCCAGCCCAGACAUGGGUUUAUUUAAAAACCUGCCCAGGAGAUUGAGACGAGUAUUCAGGGCUGAGAAGCACAGAACUGGAAACUUCCUAGAGCCGAGGUUCUCAACCCUGGCUGCACAGAAGGAUCUCCCGGGAGACUGUUUUAAUGACCGGUGCCCCGGCCCCACCCCUGAGCCUCACCGAGUCGGUCGGCGGCGAGGUCAUGGCAGCAGCAUCUUUUAAAAUCUCCCCGGGGGUUGCCAACGUGCAGUCAGGCGAUCGUAAUUCCCAACAUCCUGUUCUCG